rnacentral:piRNA from 1 species
AUAGAAUUGAAGACACAGAAAUGAACCCACA